ensembl:lncRNA
CUUCUUUGUUCUCCACAAUAGAGAUUCACUUGUCUCAGGUUUUGUACAACUUUUACCUCCAUCAACAGGAUUCUUCCAGGCAGCUUGUCAAAUUUCUGUUAAACAUCUUGUUCGACUGCUGCCUGUAGAAAUACCUACCCAUAUUUGUGAUUGCAGUAACGGGACAGUCCUUGUUUCUUCAGGCAGGCCCAGGACCCUGAUCACUAUGAAUGGCCGUUACAACCUUAGCAUGCCUCACUUGUCCUGUGCUUCGUGUGGAUAUUCACGAGAGGCGUCUUUGCCAGAACUUCAAAAGAGUGGUUACUGGCCUGGUAACAUUCCUGCAAGUGCACUGUUCACAACAGAUGUGCUUGUCUCAUUUCAAGAGAUGAAAAUGGCAUCACCAGGGAUGUCUUUUCAAGCAUUUGUUAAAAUGCUUGAUGAGAAAACAAUUCUCUUUGGUAGAGUAAGUAUUUUGUUUUGUUUUUAAUUAUUAUUUUUUUUUUUCAUCAUUAACCAUUGCCAAGUAAAAUUACUAUUUUCUUUGGACGUAGUAGAAACCUUUGCAUGUAUAGAUUUAACUACUAAGAUAUUUAAUGUACUGAGAUUUUAAUACAUUAUGAUUCUCAAUUUAGCUUUAUAACCAAAACAAUUAAUUCAUUUUCAGUGUGAAAAUGAUUGCUUUUCUGUAGACUGUGCUAACUUUAUAUGAAAUGUUAAACAGACU